GGUUCGAUUCCCGUCGAGACCGCCAUUUAAUUUUAUAAUUAAUAGCGAUUUACCUAUAAUAAUGGAGGAAUACC
rnacentral:tRNA from 1 species